rnacentral:rRNA from 1 species
CGAUAGUGAACCAGUACCGUGAGGGAAAGGCGAAAAGAACCCCGGCGAGGGGAGUGAAAAAGAACCUGAAACCGUGUACGUACAAGCAGUGGGAGCCCCACCACUAAGCCAGUGGUGAACUCCACAUACGCAUCCUUUGCUGAGGAUACGGUUAACGGAGCGAAAGCGACGUUCAACCGCAAAAGAAGCAGAGGGGGCUUAGUGGUGGGGUGACUGCGUACCUUUUGUAUAAUGGGUCAGCGACUUAUAUUCUGUAGCAAGGUUAACCGAAUAGGGGAGCCGGAGGGAAACCGAGUCUUAAUUGGGCGUUAAGUUGCAGGGUAUAGACCCGAAACCCGGUGAUCUAGCCAUGGGCAGGUUGAAGGUUGGGUAACACUAACUGGAGGACCGAACCGACUAAUGUUGAAAAAUUAGCGGAUGACCUGUGGCUGGGGGUGAAAGGCCAAUCAAACCGGGAGAUAGCUGGUUCUCCCCGAAAGCUAUUUAGGUAGCGCCUCGUGAAUUCAUCUCCGGGGGUAGAGCACUGUUUCGGCUAGGGGGCCAUCCCGGCUUACCAACCCGAUGCAAACUGCGAAUACCGGAGAAUGUUAUCACGGGAGACACACGGCGGGUGCUAACGUCCGUCGUGAAGAGGGAAACAACCCAGACCGCCAGCUAAGGUCCCAAAGUCAUGGUUAAGUGGGAAACGAUGUGGGAAGGCCCAGACAGCCAGGAUGUUGGCUUAGAAGCAGCCAUCAUUUAAAGAAAGCGUAAUAGCUCACUGGUCGAGUCGGCCUGCGCGGAAGAUGUAACGGGGCUAAACCAUG